UGGGGCAACAUGAAUCCAGCCUGUUACAUUUGAGAUUUUGGUUCACUUAUUUACAAAAGGGCCCAGAGCCUCCCCCUUCUUUCCCUGCAUUAGGAAAGAGUUUGGAAGUGGCUGACAGCAGUGUCUUCCUUCUGGCAGCCCUUAUAUUUUCUCUCUACGCAAAACUCAAAAGAAAUCCUCUGUCAGAAGAAAAAAGUGGAGGUGGGAUAAUGUGACCAACAGCUAAGCUCCAGUCCUUGACACAGGCUUAGGUGAUGAUCCCAGCUGAGACAAGGAUUGGUGAGUUACCUUAGAGAAGAAGCCUCUUCUAAAUGCUCAGACUCGCUGUGGGCUGGAAGGAUUUGACUUUGAAUGCUUCUGAAAUUCUCCCCUCCUUGUUCUUGAUUAACCAUUGAGAUGACAAUGUAGAUUUGAGGGAGAGGUGGCUCUGAUUCUGCUUAAACCAGAGAAAACUGAAAGUGAUAUUGACAUUCUCAUAUAUCAAUCAAUUAAUUGAUUCAUUCACUGAGUCACUGAUUCAUUCAUUUAUGCAUCAGGCAUUGUUCCAAGCAGUUGAGGUGCAGAGACGAAAUAGCAAAACAGGACAGUGGAUUCUUACUUGGGGUUUAGCAGUCUGUGGACCCUCUGGUAGGCUAAGUGAAAGCCAUGUGUGUACUUUUUCAGAGAAAAGAUGUAUUGCUCUGGCCAGAUUCUCAGGAGUUUAGAAGCUGCUAGCUCUUGGGAAAUAAAGGCUCUUGGGAUAAAAUAUGGAAUCUAUUAAUUCAAUCAGAGUGCAGUGGGAAGGUAGUGGGAUGUGCAGGUGAACAUCUGAAAUUCCAAAAGGGGCCAAAGAUGACCAAACCUCACAGCAGCUGGACACGAGCAGCAGCAACCAGUUCUCUGGGGUGUUUAUUUAUGAUGGCAUUAAAAAAAUAUUUACCUGAUGCCUGAGAAUAAAAAGGUGAAUGCAAACCUGGGAGACAACAAGAGGACCAACCUAUCGAGAGAGAAGUCUGAAUGGAGAGGAUAUGCCUUAAGGCUCCUGAGGAGUCUGCACAUAUUUUGGGAAGACAAUAUCAGAGGGCCAAAGCCCAGAAGGACAAGUGACUUACCUCAAGACACACACAUUGAAUUACAAGAGGGCAGCACAUCCAUGGCUCUUGCCAUCACACCACAGUAUCCACUGCAAUCCCAAUGGCAAGAGAAAGUGGCAGGCAGAGUCAGACAGGAAAGAAGUGCCAAUGGCAAGAGACAUCCCUUGGGUCGCCUGUGUGACCGAAUUCUGGCCAAUAAAUCUAUGUUUACUGGAUGGUACUUUGGCAUGGAUUCAGUGCCUGGAAGUGUGGCAGCCACCUCCAGCCUGUGAGGAUGAAGAGGAAUAUGCUGAGUGGCAGAGCAGAAAGCUGGACGAAGCCUGGUCCCUGUGGCCUUUUUUUUGCAGCUGUGAAACAAACACUGGCUUCAAGACAAGCGAUAUUAAAACAAGUUGUAGCUCGCCAUGAGAUGCUGCCUGACUCUACUGUUCCGAAAACCAUAACUACAGCUUUGAUUAGACAAGAGACCGAUUUCAAUCACUUUCUUCUGGUAAGAAGACCACUGACCAAGACCUGAUUGUGGCCAAUUUACAGAGGCUGAGAACAGAAGUGCUGUCACUUCCUGAAAACCCCUCUUGACUUAUACGGCCUAACUGCCAUAUAUUUAAAUGUUAAGUCUCCACCCCAAAGUGAACACAGGUUGUAUGUAACAUGCAUGUUUGUUCAAUACUCUUGCCUCAGGGCCACCUUCAUGAAUAGUCACAGCUCCUCCCGUUGCCCAUUGAGUAUGUGUGUUUAGCACCUGUUCAGCUAAAUCUCUAACCUCAACCUUCUCCUUCAACGCCUGCCUCUGCCUUUUGCUUGAAGCACACUUCCCAGCUGGUGGGAUGGCCACCUCACAGGCUAUAACCCUUUACAAGAAAUAAAUCUCCUUUUCCAAAUGUAAAAAU
rnacentral:lncRNA from 13 species